AUUGAACGCUGGCGGCAGGCCUAACACAUGCAAGUCGAACGAGUGGCGGACGGGUGAGUAAUGUCUGGGAAACUGCCCGAUGGAGGGGGAUAACUACUGGAAACGGUAGCUAAUACCGCAUACCAUCGGAUGUGCCCAGAUGGGAUUCGCUAGUAGGUGGGGUAACGGCUCACCUAGGCGACGAUCCCUAGCUGGUCUGAGAGGAUGACCAGCCACACUGAAACUGAGACAAGGUCCAGACUCCUACGGGAGGCAGCGGUGGGGAAUGGUGCACAAUGGGCGCAGGCCUGAGGCAGCCAUGCCGCGUGUAUGAAGCAGGCCUUCGGGUUGUAAAGUACUUUCAGCGAGGAGGCGUUACUCGCAGAAGGAGCACCGGCUAACUCCGUGCCAGCAGCCGGGGUAAUUG
rnacentral:rRNA from 1 species